rnacentral:tRNA from 1 species
ACCUGGUUGGCUUAGUCAGUUAAGUGUCUGACUUCGACUCAGGUCAUUAUCUCAUGGUUUGUAGGUUCGAGCCCCACAUCAGGCU